GGAAUCUUCCACAAUGGACGAAAGUCUGAUGGAGCAACGCCGCGUGAGUGAAGAAGGGUUUCGGCUCGUAAAACUCUGUUGUUAAAGAAGAACAUAUCUGAGAGUAACUGUUCAGGUAUUGACGGUAUUUAACCAGAAAGCCACGGCUAACUACGUGCCAG
rnacentral:rRNA from 1 species